GCCCAGGUGGCGGAAUUGGUAGACGCGCUAGUUUCAGGGACUAGUAUUCGUAAGGAUGUGCAAGUUCGAGUCUUGUCCUGGGCA
rnacentral:tRNA from 2 species